AGACACACCUGAUGAUUUAUUAUUUUCAGUAGCUUAUUUGUGAAUAUGAAAAAAUGUCUUUCUUGAUAUUCACCAAAUGAUAUAAAUGCCUUUACUCUCCAGCUCUUCAUUUUUUCUGCUCACUGGUGCUUUGAAUGCAGUGGAAAGGCAUUUCUGGUCUCCAUGGCUUCUCUUAAAUGCACGCAGAGAAGGGAACAUAAUAGAGAUGAUGAGCCCUAGCAAAUUAGCCAACUGCAAUCUCUUCUUGUUCAGUUAACGCGCCUGUACAGCCAGAUACCAGCCACGGGAGCAAAGGGCUGUGAGAGGAGAUUUGGAGCCCAAGUAUAGGAGUAGAGAAGCUCUCAGCUGUUUGUAGCAUGUCUAGAAGCA